rnacentral:rRNA from 1 species
UACGUAGGGUGCGAGCGUUGUCCGGAAUUAUUGGGCGUAAAGGGCUCGUAGGCGGUUUGUCGCGUCGGGAGUGAAAACACCGGGCUUAACUCGGUGCUUGCUUUCGAUACGGGCAGACUAGAGGCAUGCAGGGGAGAACGGAAUUCCUGGUGUAGCGGUGAAAUGCGCAGAUAUCAGGAGGAACACCGGUGGCGAAGGCGGAUCUCUGGGCCUUGCCUGACGCUGAGGCGCGAAAGCUAGGGGAGCGAACAGG